rnacentral:lncRNA from 9 species
CUUUCUGUGAUGGACAUUGCUGAAGGGCACCCCAAAGACGUUUCUACGUGGAAACUGCCAUACUGGUUGAUGAAGCAGCUCGCUGGGUUUGGUGACUGAUACAUCGGGAGAAAUUGGCUGCUGUCAACCUGGAGAAGUGUCAUUGGAGAUAUCGCCAUGCUCUAAUUGCCUACUGAGCAUGAUUUGUGAGUGUGUUUAUAAAUAUAUAAAUGCAUGCAUUAUUGUAUCCUAGCUCCAUAUAUGGAAGGUCUUCGGAAAGAUGAUCUUCAUUGGACAGAUGAGAAAACCAAGGCCCGAAGAGGGAAGAUUCUUGCUCAGGGUCAUGCAGCAAGUUCAAGGACGUAUUACUCAGAAGGUUGGAACCAUUUUUUGACCUGCCAUUCAGAGAUCUGCUCCUCCUGUUCACUCAGGAACUGGCUGGGAGAGGCUCCAUUUCAACAUGGCUUACACAUCACAGGAGAAAUUCUUUCUAGCUUUUCUUCUAGAGACAACACAGGUCACUUCCUCUACACUUGUCAUGUGGCCUCACCUAACUUGGAGGCAGAUUGAAGGGGAGAUGCCGGAUGCCUACCAGGGAGAAGCAGGGAAGACUUCUCUGGUUUUAGCAGGGAUCUGAAUUGUGCAUGAGAGUUGACCAGGGAGGGAGUUUCCAUUGUGGCUCAGAGGGUUACUAACCCGACUAGUAUCCAUAAGGAUGUAGGUUUGAUCCCUAGCCUCAUUCAGUGGUUAAGGAUCCAGUGUUGCCAUGAGCUGUGGUAUAUGUUGCAGAUGCGGCUCAGAUCCAAUAUUGCUCCAGCUGUGGUGUAGAAUGGCAGCUGCAGCUCCAAUUUGACCCCUAGACUGGGAACUUCCAGACCCUAAAAAGCAAAAAAAAAAGGAGUUGUCCAUAGAAAGGGUGACAUGGCAGGGUCUCAGGGAGCAGCUAGGGACUGGCAGCAGUAUGUGUACAGGCUCUGAGUUAGGAAGCAUCACAGCCUAUUUGAGCAGCAGAAGGAAGGCCAGAGUAGCUAGAACCCAGCCAGCAAGGGGAAAGUGGCUUCCAUUCCAAUGGGACUUGGGGAAUUAGAUGCCAGUGGACAACAGUUAGUCAUACCCCUGGGGAGGAGAGUGGCAGCAGAGUUUAUUUUGGUUUCAAUAUGAGAAACCAGUGGGUGGGGAAAGGGGCACAGAGAGUAGACAUCUGUGCCUCUCAACACACCUGCAAGGUGGGCAGAAUGCCCAUUCUAUUGGAAGGAACCUGGACCAGCGAGAUGAGUUGCUUGGCUGGAUGGUUGCAGUUGGUAAGCCUCUCUAGAAUCAGGAUUCAAAGCCUUUCCUUCAGACUCAGACAAUCCCUGGUCCCCACUGGCCACAGGGGUCUCCCCUAAUGUUGGAGGAAUCUUCCAUAUCUUGCAUCGUCGCUCAGCCCCCCGUGGGGCGGUGCUUAGGUUGGCGAAGCUCACUUAUGUUUUAUUGAAGGCCGUGUCUGGGACCAAGCAAGCUCUUUCAUUCACGUUCCCAAUUGCCACGGAGCAUCUGUCUCUGUGUCACGCCUCUGAGAAAACUUUCACAAGAUGAUAUUGAAUCAACAAGGAGGAAAUGUUGGGGGCAUCAAAGAGAAGUUUUAGAAAUGGCUGCUGGAAAAAGCAGGGGUGCCUUUUCCAUGCUGAGCUCCCCAUCUCCCAAUUAGCAUACAAAAACAUUUUUAAAGGAAUAACCUUUGCUAAUAAAACGCUAUAAUCUCAAUAAGACACUUCAGCAGGGGAAUUAUUAGAUAUUAAUUCAUGCCUAGUUGCACUGACAGCUCUCGGCCGUCAACGCUAGCCUAAUAGCACACUAGGUGAGAAUUAAUAUGCCAUAAUUCACGCUCUGUCAUGCAUUAUUGCUUAAAUAAGAUACAUGAAGAAUAACCUAUUCUGGUGAAAUAACUGGGAUUCUCAGAGUUCUUCUGGCCAAGUUAUAAAUAGUGAUGUUGGGAUCCAGAAUUUUUUUGUAUUACUAAAUUUGAAAUAAAUUGCAUAUAUGUAUCCUCGUCUGUAAUUACUGGGAACAUUUUUCUUAAGCACUAACAUUAAG